rnacentral:rRNA from 1 species
AUUGAACGCUGGCGGCAGGCUUAACACAUGCAAGUCGAGCGGGGGAAGGUAGCUUGCUACUGGACCUAGCGGCGGACGGGUGAGUAAUGCUUAGGAAUCUGCCUAUUAGUGGGGGACAACAUCUCGAAAGGGAUGCUAAUACCGCAUACGUCCUACGGGAGAAAGCAGGGGAUCUUCGGACCUUGCGCUAAUAGAUGAGCCUAAGUCGGAUUAGCUAGUUGGUGGGGUAAAGGCCUACCAAGGCGACGAGCUGUAGCGGGUCUGAGAGGAUGAGCCGCCACACUGGGACUGCGACACGGCCCAGACUCCUACGGGAGGCAGCAGUGGGGAAUAUUGGACAAUGGGGGGAACCCUGAUCCAGCCAUGCCGCGUGUGUGAAGAAGGCCUUAUGGUUGUAAAGCACUUUAAGCGAGGAGGAGGCUACUUUAGUUAAUACCUAGAGAUAGUGGACGUUACUCGCAGAAUAAGCACCGGCUAACUCUGUGCCAGCCGCCGCAGUAA